UACGUAGGGGGCAAGCGUUGUCCGGAAUCAUUGGGCGUAAAGAGCGUGUAGGCGGCCAGAUAAGUCCGCUGUGAAAUCUCGAGGCUCAACUUCGAGCUGUCGGUGGAAACUGUCUGGCUAGAGUCCGGAAGAGGAGAAUGGAAUUCCUGGUGUAGCGGUGAAAUGCGCAGAUAUCAGGAAGAACACCCGUGGCGAAGGCGGCUCUCUGGGACGGUACUGACGCUGAGACGCGAAAGCGUGGGGGAGCGAACAGG
rnacentral:rRNA from 1 species